rnacentral:misc_RNA from 1 species
CCAAUAGCGUAUAUUAAAGUUGUUGUGGUUAAAAAGCUCGUAGUUGAACCUUGGGCCUGGCUGGCCGGUCCGCCUCACCGCGUGUACUGGUCCGGCCGGGCCUUUCCCUCUGUGGAACCUCAUGCCCUUCACUGGGUGUGACGGGGAAGCAGGACUUUUACUGUGAAAAAAUUAGAGUGCUCCAAGCAGGCCUAUGCUCGAAUACAUUAGCAUGGAAUAAUAAAAUAGGACGUGCGGUUCUUUUUUGUUGGUUUCUAGGACCGCCGUAAUGAUUAAUAGGGACAGGCGGGGGCAUCAGUAUUCAAUUGUCAGAGGUGAAAUUCUUGGAUUUAUUGAAGACUAACUACUGCGAAAGCAUUUGCCAAGGAUGUUUUCAUUAAUCAGGAACGAAAGUUAGGGGAUCGAAGACGAUCAGAUACCGUCGUAGUCUUAACCAUAAACUAUGCCGACUAGGAAUCAGACGAUGUUAAUUUUUUAAUGACUCGUUUGGCACCUUACG